GGAUGUUGGCUUAGAAGCAGCCAUCAUUUAAAGAAAGCGUAAUAGCUCACUGGUCGAGUCGGCCUGCGCGGAAGAUGUAACGGGGCUAAACCAUGCACCGAAGCUGCGGCAGCGACACUAUGUGUUGUUGGGUAGGGGAGCGUUCUGUAAGCCUGCGAAGGUGUGCUGUGAGGCAUGCUGGAGGUAUCAGAAGUGCGAAUGCUGACAUAAGUAACGAUAAAGCGGGUGAAAAGCCCGCUCGCCGGAAGACCAAGGGUUCCUGUCCAACGUUAAUCGGGGCAGGGUGAGUCGACCCCUAAGGCGAGGCCGAAAGGCGUAGUCGAUGGGAAACAGGUUAAU
rnacentral:rRNA from 1 species